AUGUGGCAGCAUGGGGACAGCGAAGAAGAGGAUGACUUCAAAGAAACUGCUGGAGAGGAAAGAGACCUGGAAGAGGAGCAAGAGCGAGGAGACGGAGAGAAAGAGGACCGGGUGGAUGAGGAAGAGCUUGAUGAGAUCUAUGUGUUUGCAGCGACACAAAGGAAGAUGGAGACAAUGUUGGAGACUGAGACCGAGGAAGAGGAGGGAGGUGCAAAUACGUCCCUUGGAGAUGAGAAGAAGGAUGAAGGGAAGGAGAAAAAAGAGACAGAAUGCCUUUUAGAGAAAUCUGCCGGCAGUUGCUAUAGUAACAAACAAGGUGUGGAUGGGACGGAGGGUGCCAUGGUAACAAGUCCAACAGAAAACCCUAAAAACCCCAAUUCAGAGACUGAGAGAGUUUGUUUGGUUCCAGAGCUAGAUGAAAACAGAGACUCGGAUGCCAGUCUAGACAAAAGUUAUGACUGUUUAUUCUCCCAGUCUGUAGGGGAAUACAUGGAACCAUCACAGACGCAAGCGUCCUGCUCUCAGAAACAAUGUCACAAGCCAUCAAGCACACUACAACAAAACACACCCACCUCUUUUCGCCCUUCAUGUGUCAAUGAGGUGAUUGACCUAUCUAUAAGCCCUCCACCGAGCUCAGGUGUGUCAGGCAAGACUUCCUUCCCCAUCCCUGGAGUGUCUCCUGUUCCACAUGAGGGUGAAGAUACGGGUAAGUCUCCACCAAGAAGAGACAGCUCAGGAUGCCAGGGAAUUGAAAACCCUCCUUCCCCUCCAGAAUCUCAAAGCAAGCAGGUAGAGCUCAUUGUUCUCUCAGAUUCUGGUGAUGAAAUGGAUGUAGAUAAUGGUGACCAAAAUGCUGCCACCACUACACGUGCUUUGACUCCUCCGUCUCCUUUCGAAUCUUCCCCAGAACUUCCUCAGAGGACCACGAGCUAUGCUUGUGAAGUCAAAGACAACAGUUUCAAAGAAUCUGGAUCCCAAGGCCAUGCCGGUAAACAGGUAGAUGCUUCCAAGCUGAUGGAGACUGAUAUUGAAGCAAAGUCUGACCGAUCAGAGCACUGUAGCCCUGGGGUUGCGAAUGAAAGUGUGUUUGAUGGCUCUGCCGAGGUUUCCUGGCUGAUUCCAGCCACUCCGGUACCAUCCACACGCUGUAGCUCUGCCCAGACCUGCAUCAGCAUGCGCCGAACCCAGCUCUUCCCCAAGUCAUCAUCCUCUUCUUCCUCUUCCUCCGUCUCGGAGAGUUUGAAACCUGCUAGCUCUGCUUCUUCAAGCACCAGCUGCCUAAAGGAGAAACCAGCAACCUUGUCCAAAUUGCACAAAUCAUAUCGAAGUCCCUCUAAAGAACGUCAGAGCAUUGAUACAGAUCGCUCUCCAGGUUACCAGAGAGCACCUCACCAUCUAAGACUAUCUCAGGUUUCUUCUACAGAUGUGUCUGAUGGCUCCAACAUUGGCAUCAUCAUGGGACAUCCAAUCCAGGGUGUCCCCAAGCCCUCCAGUAGCACUCCUCUCCAUUCAGACUCUUCCUUACAACGUCAGAUCCCGUUUUGCUCUCCCAUGGUUGACGACUGUGAGGUUGGGCUUAGGAAUUGUAGAGGUUCUUCUAGAUCCUUCGGUAGGAAGGGGAAAGUUGACCUAGUGUCUCUACAACUGAGUUCUCCUGGUAAAACACCUGAGAAGCAGCAGAGUGGCCCUCUUCAGCAGGGAUGCUCCAGUCCAGCCCCGAACUCUCCAAGAUACAUUCUUCCAGAAAGUUUGAAAGAGAGUGGGAACGAUGGGAUAGAACGAAUGGAAUUGGGAGAGAAUCCAAAUCAAAGUGUUGAAGAAUUGGUGGAUAUUGCGGUACACUCCUCCUGUGACCUGGAUGAUACUAGAAGAGGAGUGAGAGAAGAGAAUCCAAGUCAAAGUGUUGACGAAGUGGUCGAUAUUGCAGGAAACUCAUUUUGUGUCAUGGAUGAGCCUCCUAUAGCGUUUGAUGACUCUUGGGGUUUGGAUGGAGGGGUUGGAAGCCAGAAGCCCUGCUUUAGUCUACGACUUGACAGCAGCGGAGGUACAGUCAGUCCACCAGGUCUCGAGGGUAAAGGAACAACGUCAACGUCUCCUCUUGCAACUGGAGUUUGUAAAAAAACUCCUGAUCCAAGUCCAGGUCCGUUUAAUCACAGCCUACCUGACCCUGACAUGUGGGAUGAUUGGGAGGAAGAGGAGGUGGCUCCCCUUCCUCUUUCUCAGAGAUUGACAGCUCCGUCUGCCAAGAGAGUUGCUGAACUGAAGACUCCAGGUAAGGCGUGUCGUCCUCUGUGUUAA
ensembl:lncRNA